AGUUUGAUCAUGGCUCAGGACGAACGCUGGCGGCGUGCCUAACACAUGCAAGUCGAACGGAACUGUUUUGGAGCUUGCUUCGAAACAGUUUAGUGGCGGACGGGUGAGUAACGCGUGAGCAACCUACCUUUCAGAGGGGGAUAACGUCUGGAAACGGACGCUAAUACCGCAUGACAUUUCAGAGCCGCGUGGUUUUGAGAUCAAAGGAGCAAUCCGCUGAGAGAUGGGCUCGCGUCCGAUUAGCCAGUUGGUGAGGUAACGGCCCACCAAAGCAACGAUCGGUAGCCGGACUGAGAGGUUGAACGGCCACAUUGGGACUGAGACACGGCCCAGACUCCUACGGGAGGCAGCAGUGGGGGAUAUUGCACAAUGGAGGAAACUCUGAUGCAGCAACGCCGCGUGAGGGAAGAAGGUCUUCGGAUUGUAAACCUUUGUCCUUGGUGACGAUAAUGACGGUAGCCAAGGAGGAAGCUCCGGCUAACUACGUGCCAGCAGCCGCGGUAAUACGUAGGUGGCGAGCGUUGUCCGGAUUUACUGGGUGUAAAGGGUGCGUAGGCGGGUUAUCAAGUUGGGUGUGAAACCUCCGUGCUUAACACGGAGCCUGCAUUCAAAACUGGUAAUCUUGAGUGAGGUAGAGGUAGAUGGAAUUCCCGGUGUAGCGGUGAAAUGCAUAGAUAUCACUCAGAACACCGAUUGCGAAGGCAUCCGCCGAGACCGAAACUGACGCUGAGGCACGAAAGCGWGGGGAUAGAACAGGAUUAGAUACCCUGGUAUUCCACSCCG
rnacentral:rRNA from 1 species